rnacentral:lncRNA from 1 species
UGGACCAGCAUCUGAUUUGUGUCAAUUAAAUCUUGGACAACUCUCUUUAAAUGCCAGCAUUUCUCAAUAUCAUGGCCUGGCAUAUCAGAACAGUACGCACACCUUAAAGAAUAAUCGAGAUUCCUUGGCGGUGGAUUUGAAAGCCUUCCUUGAAUUGGGCUUAAAACCUUCAACUUUCUCAACCUAUCAAACAAGCUAGCAUAUGACUCCCCAAGAGGUGUGAAUUGAUUUUUGACCGCCUUCUCCUUCUUAUACUCGGGC